GUGUCAGCCGCCGCGGUAAUACAGAGGGUGCGAGCGUUAAUCGGAUUUACUGGGCGUAAAGCGUGCGUAGGCGGCUGAUUAAGUCGGAUGUGAAAUCCCUGAGCUUAACUUAGGAAUUGCAUUCGAUACUGGUCAGCUAGAGUAUGGGAGAGGAUGGUAGAAUUGCAGGUGUAGCGGUGAAAUGCGUAGAGAUCUGGAGGAAUACCGAUGGCGAAGGCAGCCAUCUGGCCUAAUACUGACGCUGAGGUACGAAAGCAUGGGGAGCAAACAGGAUUAGAUACCCCCGUAGUCC
rnacentral:rRNA from 1 species